GUGGGUAACCUGCCUCACACAGGGGGAUAACAGUUGGAAACGGCUGCUAAUACCGCAUAAGCGCACAGUACCGCAUGGUACAGUGUGAAAAACUCCGGUGGUGUGAGAUGGACCCGCGUCUGAUUAGCUAGUUGGCAGGGCAACGGCCUACCAAGGCGACGAUCAGUAGCCGACCUGAGAGGGUGACCGGCCACAUUGGGACUGAGACACGGCCCAAACUCCUACGGGAGGCAGCAGUGGGGAAUAUUGCACAAUGGGGGAAACCCUGAUGCAGCGACGCCGCGUGAGCGAAGAAGUAUUUCGGUAUGUAAAGCUCUAUCAGCAGGGAAGAAGAAAUGACGGUACCUGACUAAGAAGCACCGGCUAAAUACGUGCCAGCAGCCGCGGUAAUACGUAUGGUGCAAGCGUUAUCCGGAUUUACUGGGUGUAAAGGGAGCGCAGGCGGAAGGCUAAGUCUGAUGUGAAAGCCCGGGGCUCAACCCCGGUACUGCAUUGGAAACUGGUCAUCUAGAGUGUCGGAGGGGUAAGUGGAAUUCCUAGUGUAGCGGUGAAAUGCGUAGAUAUUAGGAGGAACACCAGUGGCGAAGGCGGCUUACUGGACGAUAACUGACGCUGAGGCUCGAA
rnacentral:rRNA from 1 species